GAACAGAUGGUUUGUGAGCAUCACGUGACCAUGAGAGCAGACGGCCACGGGCGGACCGGUGGAUCAGGGUCUCCAUGUCUGAAUGAGGGUCUGGACGUGGAAACCGGGACGUGCGUUCCAUCCAACUGCUGUUGCAUUCUGGGAGUUGAAGGAAGGCAGCCAGAACUCCUCCCUCCUGAGACGGUCUGCGGUGUGUUUAUCUGCUGACCUUCAGAGAGUAACCGCUGCUUUUCUGCCUCUUCCACGCUCAGCGCUCCUCUCAAACAGCCCCUCUUCCUGUGUGCGUGGAGCGUCCAGCCCGCUGAUGUGUGUAAAUGCAGAGGGAAUCCUGGACUUGGAAUCUUACAUCUACAUGGAUCUCUGCAGCCCGAUGAAGACGUCGGUGUCCCUGCAGAUGUCCACCUUCAUCCUUUCCUCCUCCAUUAAAGACCUGAUCUCUACGUCUGUGUGACGCUUCCGUCUGAGGAGGAGCAGCACUUUUUGGGAUUGUCAACGUUCUAAUGGCAGUUUCCACGGAGCAAAAGGCAGAAGACGUGUGCGAGGUUCCCUCAGUGACCAACAGGGGGCAGUGGAGGUCUGAAAAAGCCUGUCAGCAGGAGUUUGGGUCAAACUUCAGGCAUAAACACUCAGAGAGCUGAGAGCUUCAAGAGGCUGAAGAGGACUGAGAAGUGUCUGUCAACGAGUCUGCAGAAACCCGCUGAACAGCCCGCAACUGCUGUGUGUUACUGUGUGUGUUUUUGUGUGUUGAACGUUUCUUUGUUUGUGAAUGGUCUUUUGCACAUGGAUGACACGCAUCCGUGUAGCAGAGAUCAGCCGUGUGAAGCAGCUGAGGAUCCUGGUUAACUCCACUGACUUCUAUCCAUCUUUCAUUUCUUAUGAAUGUUUCAAUUAUAAUUAAUAAAACAGCUAAUAUAUGAGA